AUGGACGUCUUUGCAAUUACCUUCACUCUCUCUACGACGCUCUUGACUGUCGUGUUGGCUCUUUCUACCUGCCGUUUUUGCAACUAUCGGAAUUUCAUUGUGUGCCAUGGAAAUCUUUGAUUUGUUUCCUGAUGCCACACAUUCUUUGCAGCAAAUGUUAUUCCUUAAGGAGACGUUGCUGUUAAUGAUGCCGCAGACCGACCUCAAAGAAACGCCAAGGCGAAGACAAGUCCUCCACUCAGUCACUAUUGGCAUGUCUUGUGAAUAAGUAUAGUUUUACACAUAAUUCGUUAGGCGCUUAAGCAAGUUGAUUUUUCGAAUGGGACGUAAAAUCACGUUGUUUUUAUUGAAGGGGGUUUUGAUAUUUAAGGGUCGUGAUGUCUUGCUAACCACAGCAAAGUACCCAACAGGCACCAGUUCUGCUAGUACUCAACAGAACAAAGGAUGUGAAUGUGUGCGCAGGACUACUCACAUUAAAAGACCAAAGCGGCAGCUGCAUUUUAAUUCAUUGGAACUACUAUAGACUUAUGAGCUCAAAAAUGCCAUACGCACAUACAAACACGUGUGUGAAUCUAUUCGAAAGCAUGUGUAUAGAAAUUCCAUUCGAAGUCUGCUAAGUAACAAACUAUUGACUAUAGGUGACAGGACAUAUCGCACAGAACCUCUAUACCAGCAUAACUGGGAGGGAGGAUAAUAUGCUAAAGGGAAAUGAAGGAUACCGGAUUGAAGGUAAUAACUUCUAUGCAAGGGUGCGCGGAGGUUUUAAAAUUGAGAAGCAAUCAUAGGAAUAUAUGCACGUGACGAGGGGAGAAUAUAAA